rnacentral:lncRNA from 1 species
AUUAGCUGUAGAAGCAUCUUGUAGUAGUUUAUACGCACUACGUACUGAAAACUCACCAGAUAGUUCUCCACUCCACACCUGAAUAUCCUCAUGUUCGGUCUCUGCCAGAGGAAUUUGUAGAAUCUUCCGAGCAGUAUCUUCUUGAAAGGUACUUUUAAUUAAGUCUGACUUCCAUUUUCUACUUGAAUUGUCAAUGAGGUCNNNNNNNNNNNNNNNNNNNNNNNNNNNNNNNNNNNNNNNNNNNNNNNNNNNNNNNNNNNNNNNNNNNNNNNNNNNNNNNNNNNNNNNNNNNNNNNNNNNNUGUGCUAUUAAGCUCAGCCACCUUGUCAAUCCCCUGAAUCCAGUUGUCUUCCCAGAUAGAAAUGCUACUCCCUUUACCAACUCUCCAACCCAAUCCUCUUUGGAGAAGUCCUUUUGCCCCCCAGAUGCUCUUCCAGGUAAAUGAAGGUAAAUUCCCCAACUCUGCGUUUAAAAAACUGGACUGUGGAAAAUAUUUAGCCUUCAAAACUCUGGCUAAUAAAGAAUUUGGGAAAUUAAUGAGACUCCAACCUUGUUUAGCUAAUAACGCAAUAUUAAAUUGACUAAGAUCUCGAAAGCCUAGACCACCAUUUUCUUUUAACGAACAAAGGUUUUUCCAAGUGCACCAAUGAGUUCCCCUUUUGCCCCCUCCUUUUUGCCACCAGAAUCUUGCUAUAAUACUCUCCAUUUCAUCACAAAGAGCUCUCGGCAGUAAGAAACAUGCCAUAGAAUAAGUCGGAAUAGCUUGCAAAAUGGCCUUUAUAAAAAUUUCUUUCCCUCCUUGUGAUAAAAAUCUGUUGCUCCAGUUAUCAAUACGUUUUUUGAUUCGAUCCUUUAAACUCUGAAAAGAUUCUUUUUUCUUUCGCCCCACCAUAUUCGGUAGCCCUAGAUAUCGUUCAGGUUCACUAGUCCUACGUACCCCCAACACAUCAACCACUUGUCCCCUAUCCUCCUCCAACGUGUUUUUACUAAAGAAUACCGUUGAUUUAUCAAAAUUUACACAUUGUCCCGAGCAAACUUUGAAUUCACACAAAAUAUCCUUUAUGAUGUUUGCACCCCUGCUAGUUGCCUCUCCAAACAGUAUGCAGUCAUCAGCAAAUAAAAGAUGAGAUACCUGUGGACCGUAUCUACUCACCCGUACACCUUUGAGACGAUCUCUCUUCAUUGCUAACCUCAGCAAGCUCGAUAAACCUUCACCACAUAUCAGGAAUAAAAACGGGCUUAAUGGGUCCCCUUGUCUAAGUCCUCUGGUUGGUACAAAUUUAUCUCCUCUGUACCCAUUUAUGACAACUGAAUAAGCAACAGAUGACACACAUUUCAUAAUGGCAUUUACCCAACUAAAAUCAAACCCCAUCUUUUUCAUGACCUCCUCUAUAAGUUUCCAUUCUACCCUGUCAUAAGCUUUACUCAUAUCGAGUUUAACGGCCAUAAAUCCUUUUUUCCCCGUUCUCUUUUGCUUUAACUUGUGCAAUAUUUCGUAAGUGAGUAAUACAUUAUCUGAUAUUAACCUGCCUGGCACAAAAGCACUUUGCGCUUCAUCAAUACAUUUGCCAAUAACACUUCGAAAUCUGUUUGCAAGUACCUUUGCAAUAAUUUUGUAAAGUACAUUGCAUAGACUAAUUGGCCUAAAUUGCAUCAUAGUUGAUGGAUUGCUGACUUUGGGAAUAAGCACUAUAUUUGUGGUAUUUAUUGGACUAAUCUCCAUAUUUCCGUUUAAAAUUUGUAGACAAAAAGAUAGGACGUCAUCCCCAACAAUCUGCCAACACUUCUGAUAGAAUAAUGCUGGAAACCCAUCCUCCCCUGGUGCUUUUGUAGGUCCCAUUUCAAAAACAGCUUCUCUAAUUUCCUCUCUGGAAUAUGGUUCUGUAAGUUUUCGGUUGUCAUCCGCAUGAAUGCAGCGUUCUAUCCCUGAUAGAAUAUGAUCAUAAUUCCCAUUCUCUCUUGCCGAAAAUAAAUUCUGAAAAUAAGACUUAGCCACACCCUCAAUGUCUUGAAUGAGCUCCAUUUCUCUACCCUCUUCAUCUUUCAGCUUAUGAAUGAUAUUCUUUUUUCUCCGUUGUGAAGCUUGGCUAUGAAAGAAAGCAGUAUUUUUGUCCCCUAAUUUCAACCAGUUAAUUCUAGCUCUCUGUUCCCAAUAGCAUUCGUCCUUCUCAAUCUCAAAAUUCAAGUUUAUUUUUGUAUCAAUCAAUUCAGCUAAGGUCUCUUCAUUUCUGGUUGCUUCAGCUAACUCGCCAAGUUUCUUCGUAAGCAUCUGUUUUGUCUUCUGCCUAUUUUUUUUAACUGCCCAGCCCAAAUCUGCAAUCCUUUCUUUAAAUUAUCUAGCCUCUUUAAUAUUUCCUCUGACGAAUUCUCCCAUAGUUUUUUGACUUCUUCCAUGAAAGAUUCUUCCAACAGCCACCAUGCUUCAAAUCUGAAAUUGUUAUCCCUUACUCGUUCUGCAAAUCUCCUGGUAUUAAUAAGAAGAGGACAAUGGUCUGAAAAUCAAUGAGCAAGAUGUUGAACUUUAAUUUCUGGAAACAUAACAAUCCAAUUUGUGUUAGCUACUCCUCUGUCCAAACGUUCUUGGAUGUUCGUCUCUGGUAAGUUGCCUCUCUCCCAAGUAAAACGCCUGCCCUCAAAACCCACAUCAUUCAAUCGGCAUUCCUCUAAUGUUUUCCUAAAAAUUUCCAUCCUUCUUUCAUCCCUAGGUAACCCUCCUUUUUUUUCAAAUCCAUACAUAAUUUCAUUGAAGUCUCCGCAAACCAACCAAGGGGUUUCUCUAUCAUUAGCUAAACUUUUCAAAACCUCCCACGAAUCAUUCCUAUCCUGUAUGUAUGGGGAACCAUAAAAUCCUGUAAAUCUCCAAUUAAUUCAUUUUUCCUUAUCUUCAACGAUCACAUCAAUAUGUCUUUUAGAGUAACUACGAAGCAUAACUUCAAUGUCAGUUCGCCAAGCUAAGCACAACCCUCCUCUCGUACCUUCAGAUUCCACUUCGAUUCCAUUUGCGAAACCACACCUCCUGUGAGUAAUUUCCAUUUGUUUCUUAUUAAUUUUAGUCUCCAUAAAGAAGACUAUUUGGGGAUUAUUAAUUUUCAUUGUGCCCGGUCGGCAUGCUUUUUGGCAGCCGCCGAUAUUAGAGAAUGUACGCCUUCCAUCUCCCCUCUAUUUCUCCUUUUUCCUUCCUCCCCUAUUAAAGUUUCAUCUUCCAAAUCAUGCUCCAUAGCCAUUUGCAUCUGAUAAGACCAGAUUUUAUUUCUCUGUUGUUCUUCAUGUGUUGCCCUCCCCUCAAGGCUAAUCCCUAAUUUGGAUCAAUAGCUUUGCCCCUCUUUCCUUUUGAAGCCUCAUUCUGCUCGUUUAACCCGUCAAACCUACUCUCCAUCCAGCCUUCUCCAAGUUUCCCUUCCCCCUCCUCUCGUAGCCAAAUGCUAUUCAUUGAUAGAGCUCUUCGAGAUGGUGCCCGUAAUGUUAAAUCCCAUCCCAUUUCAGCAAUCUCCCCUCCAACCCUCAUUCUCUCUUCACAGAAAGAGUCAUUAUGACCUAAACGUCCACAGAAAAAACAAAACAGCGAUAGACGCUCAUACUUAAAUUUAACAUAUGAGCAUAUCCCACCAAACAUAAUCUGUUUCUUUCUUUUCAAAGGUUUCCUAAUAUCAAUCUGCACUCUUAUUCUCAUAAAAUUAUGAGUCUCCUUUCCCAACUUAGAUACAUCGUACUCCAUGAAAACUCCAAUAAAAUUGCCCAGCUGUGUUGCUAGGCUUUCAGUAAAUAAACCUAUUGGGACAUCAUGAAUUUGUACCCAAAAAGGGCUAAAAAUUAGUGGUAUCGUCAAUGGAUUUUCUCCCCUUCUCAGUUUGCAGAGUAUUAAUAAAUGAUUAUUAAAAGUCCACGGUAAACCCUUCAGAACUCUUUCCAAAUCCAUACUGUGAAAAAAUUUAAAAAGGUACCUUUUUUCUCCCAGAUCUCGAAUUUGUACCCCACAGACAGGGUGCCACAAAUUUGCCAUGGUGCUUCUCAUAGUUGGAAAAUGUAUUAUGCUUGCUGUUAAAAAACAACCUACAAGCUGAAAAUCUUCACGUUCUUUUUGCAUGCAUGGAUCAGUCUGGAUCUGUAAAAUUUCCUCUUCUUCUUCAUUGAGCGACAAUUGUGCUAAUUCUGUUUCCAUGAUUGCAGGAAUUGAUGUUCAGAAAAACUCUCCCGUCCUCCCUAUCGUCUGAGCAAAAUUGUAUUCAAGCCGAUUUCAAGAAAAAAGAACAAAAGCAAUCUACGAAAAACCUAAAAAUAUCAUGCCAAAGGCGGCAGACAGAAACGUGCUAGGGUAGCAGACUACA